rnacentral:misc_RNA from 1 species
AAGGAGUCUAACAUGCUUGCGAGUAUUUGGGUGUCAAACCCGGAUGCGUAAUGAAAGUGAAUGGAGGUGGGAGGCGCAAGCUGCACCAUCGACCGAUCUGGAUUUUCUAAGAUGGAUUUGAGUAAGAGCACGUAUGUUGGGACCCGAAAGAUGGUGAACUAUGCCUGAAUAGGGCGAAGCCAGAGGAAACUCUGGUGGAGGCUCGUAGCGGUCCUGACGUGCAAAUCGAUCGUCAAAUUUGGGUAUAGGGGCGAAAGACUAAUCGAACCAUCUAGUAGCUGGUUCCUGC